GCUUAACACAUGCAAGUCGAUCGGUAACGCGGGGGCAACCCUGGCGACGAGAGGCGGACGGGUGAGGAACGCUUGGGAAUCUGCCCUUCAGCGGGGGACAACCCGGGGAAACCCGGGCUAAUACCGCAUACGCUCCACGGAGGAAAGCCGGGGACCGCAAGGCCUGGCACUGAAGGAUGAGCCCAAGUCGGAUUAGCUAGUUGGCGGGGUAACGGCCCACCAAGGCGACGAUCCGUAGCUGGUCUGAGAGGACGAUCAGCCACACUGGGACUGAGACACGGCCCAGACUCCUACGGGAGGCAGCAGUGGGGAAUAUUGGACGAUGGGCGAAAGCCUGAUCCAGCGACGCCGCGUGGGUGAAGAAGGCCUGCGGGUUGUAAAGCCCUUUCGGUAGGGACGAAAGCCUCCGACCUAACACGUCGGGGGGUUGACUUAACCUACAAAAGAAGCACCGGCUAACUCUGUGCCAGCAGCCGCGGUAAUAC
rnacentral:rRNA from 1 species